UACGAAGGGGGCUAGCGUUGCUCGGAAUUACUGGGCGUAAAGCGUGCGCAGGCGGCUAUGCAAGACAGAUGUGAAAUCCCCGGGCUCAACCUGGGAACUGCAUUUGUGACUGCAUGGCUAGAGUACGGUAGAGGGGGAUGGAAUUCCGCGUGUAGCAGUGAAAUGCGUAGAUAUGUGGAGGAACACCGAUGGCGAAGGCAGCCCCCUGGGUCAAAACUGACGCUCAUGCACGAAAGCGUGGGGAGCAAACAGG
rnacentral:rRNA from 1 species